rnacentral:rRNA from 1 species
GAUCAUGGCUCAGAUUGAACGCUGGCGGAAUGCUUUACACAUGCAAGUCGAGCGGCAGCGCGGGGCAACCUGGCGGCGAGCGGCGAACGGGUGAGUAAUACAUCGGAACGUGCCCAGACGUGGGGGAUAACUACUCGAAAGAGUGGCUAAUACCGCAUACGAUCUAAGGAUGAAAGCGGGGGAUCGCAAGACCUCGCGCGUUUGGAGCGGCCGAUGGCAGAUUAGGUAGUUGGUGGGGUAAAGGCUUACCAAGCCCGCGAUCUAUAGCUGGUCUGAGAGGAUGAUCAGCCACACUGGGACUGAGACACGGCCCAGACUCCUACGGGAGGCAGCAGUGGGGAAUUUUGGACAAUGGGCGAAAGCCUGAUCCAGCCAUUCCGCGUGCAGGAUGAAGGCCCUCGGGUUGUAAACUGCUUUUGUACAGAGCGAAAAAGCUCUUUCUAAUACAGAGAGUCCAUGACGGUACUGUAAGAAUAAGCACCGGCUAACUACGUG